AGAGUUUGAUCCUGGCUCAGGACGAACGCUGGCGGCGUGCUUAACACAUGCAAGUCGAGCGGUAAGGCCCUUUCGGGGGUACACGAGCGGCGAACGGGUGAGUAACACGUGGGUGAUCUGCCCUGCACUUCGGGAUAAGCCUGGGAAACUGGGUCUAAUACCGGAUAUGACCAAAGGCUGCAUGGCUUUUGGUGGAAAGG
rnacentral:rRNA from 1 species